CAACUGCACGCCCACCCCAGCAGAUGGGAGAGGGAGGUCCCAGAUCGAGCCCCCCACCCCCAAAGUCAAGGAGCAAGGGCCCCAGAGAACCUGAGGAGACGUUAUUGCUCUGCUCGUUAAAAUCGACCAGGAAAUGCACGGCAAAAUGGAGAGCGCAGCUACUACUGUCCCGGAGGGACCCUGCUCACACUUUGAGACGUGGAAAGGAGCAACGAAUGUUUAGGACUGCAGCCAUUUAUGUUUGUUUUUCGGGGUGACGGGACUGGAGGCUUCUUUGAACUGAGAAAGUGCCUUUUUGAAAUGAUGCUGCCUGUUACACAGUGGACCCUUUUGCUGCAUUUCUGCGUCAACCAGCUUGAUCUUCAGCAUUUCGUCCACAUGCUGUCAGAAAUGUUUUAAUCCUUUUUAUUUACUCCUGUAUGUCAUGGCAAACUAAACACAUUGGUUUUCCUUUAGUUACUGGUGUAUGUAUGUACACUAUUUAAGGCACUCUGUUACAAGUGGUUGAUGCAUGUUUUACUUUAUUACAUUUAAAAGUAUAUAUUUAUAUUCAAAAGGUGUCAAAGGAAAUAAAUUAAUAUAUUUUUAUGGUGGAUCUGAUUUUAAACUGCAUAUUAGGUCACUGACUCACUGAGUGGCAUUGCAUAGAACACGUUUGAUGGCAUCUUGUUCACUGUUCACUGCUGAUGUUCUUAUAAAAUCCUGCCUGGGGAAAAUAAUUUUUUUUGUUUUGUUUUUUGCCCCUCACUUGAAUGUACUGUUUUGCUAGCUGAGGGUGAACACUUGUGAAAGCAAUUUUCUGAACCAACGAUGUAGGUCUUUAUUUUCUCAUUUCCUUCAAGUAAAACCAUGAAUCCAUUCUGA